CCCGCUGAACUUAAGCAUAUCAAUAAGCGGAGGAAAAGAAACCAACAGGGAUUGCUCUAGUAACGGCGAGUGAAGCAGCAAUAGCUCAAAUUUGAAAUCUGGCGUCUUCGACGUCCGAGUUGUAAUUUGUAGAGGAUGCUUCUGAGUAACCACCGACCUAAGUUCCUUGGAACAGGACGUCAUAGAGGGUGAGAAUCCCGUAUGCGGUCGGAAAGGUGCUCUAUACGUAGCUCCUUCGACGAGUCGAGUUGUUUGGGAAUGCAGCUCUAAAUGGGAGGUAAAUUUCUUCUAAAGCUAAAUAUUGGCCAGAGACCGAUAGCGCACAAGUAGAGUGAUCGAAAGAUGAAAAGCACUUUGGAAAGAGAGUUAAAAAGCACGUGAAAUUGUUAAAAGGGAAGGGAUUGCAACCAGACUUGCUCGCGGUGUUCCGCCGGUCUUCUGACCGGUCUACUCGCCGCGUUGCAGGCCAGCAUCGUCUGGUGCCGCUGGAUAAGACUUGAGGAAUGUAGCUCCCUCGGGAGUGUUAUAGCCUCUUGUGAUGCAGCGAGCGCCGGGCGAGGUCCGCGCUUCGGCUAGGAUGCUGGCGUAAUGGUCGUAAUCCGCCCGUCUUGAAACACGGACCAGGAGA
rnacentral:rRNA from 1 species